rnacentral:rRNA from 1 species
AGCUCUGAAGAAGAUUAAUACAAGAUGGCAUCAUGAGUCCGCAUGUUCACAUGAUUAAAGGUAUUCCGGUAGACGAUGGGGAUGCGUUCCAUUAGAUAGUAGGCGGGGUAACGGCCCACCUAGUCUUCGAUGGGUAGGGGUUCUGAGAGGAAGGUCCCCCACAUUGGAACUGAGACACGGUCCAAACUCCUACGGGAGGCAGCAUG